CUUUACCCUCAUAGUCAACAGUACUGGAUCAUUGAAAAACAACAUUAUCAUUGCUGAGAACUGAUCCUGCAGUUUCCAUUGAUAACAUUAUUGCUGAUCGAGAACUGAUCCUGCAGUUUCCAUUGAUAACAUUAUUGCUGAUCGAGAACUGAUCCGCUGCUCACUGAUAGGUCCAUUAUGAAAUAGAUCUUUAUAUUAUAUUAUUAGAAUGCGCACCACCAUAUAGCGUUCGGCAUACUUCAUCGACUACUAGCUAUGUUGAACCUGUUUGUAUUUGCUCUUCCUUUGCUCUUCUUCACAAUAUUCCUCGUCAAAUGGUUUUCCGCUGCAAACGCCCACAAUCAUUUGCCUCCAUCACCACCAAGGCUUCCAAUACUAGGAAACCUCCACCAACUUGGCACACGCCCUCACCGAUCCCUCCAGAAACUAGCUCAGCACCAUGGUGAACUCAUGAUGCUUCGUUUCGGUUCCAGACCAGUGAUAUCGAUCAUAGUUUCAUCUGCAGAUGCUGCUCGCGAGAUCAUGAAGACAAAUGAUCGCAUCUUCUGUACCAAACCCAAAUUAACAGUUGCUGAUAAAUUGCUCUACCAAGGCAAGGAUGUGGCCACCGCUCCGUACGGUGAGUAUUGGAGGCAGAUAAGAAGCAUAUGUGUUCUCCAGCUUUUAAGUAACAAAAGGGUUCAGUCUUUCCGUGGGGUUAGAGAAGAAGAAGUAGCCUUGCUGAUUCAGAAUAUCGAACAGUCAUCUAUGUUGUCACUACGUACCGGUCAAUCUAAGCGAACUAUUUUCUUUGCAUACUAAUGAUGUGAUUUGUAGGUUGGCUUUUGGGAAGAAGUAUAGUGGUGGUAGUGAAGGUGCAAUCAAGUUCAAGAAGUUGCUUGGGGAAUUUAUGGGGUUGUUGAGUGGUUUCUCUGUUGGAGAUAACAUUCCAUGGCUUUCUUGGGUCAAUCACUUUAGUGGGUUAGAUGCAAGAGUGGAGAAAGUUUCUAAAGAAUUUGAUGAAUUUCUUGAUACAAUAGUUGAUGAGCAUAUGGUUAAUCUUAGCACAGAGAGAAAUGUCUGUGGUGAAGAAGGUGAAGUUAGGAAGGAUUUUGUGGAUCUCCUGCUUGAAGUGCAAAACAAUAACAUCUCUGGCUCUUCCAUUGAUAGAGAUGGCAUCAAAGCUGUCAUCUUGGAUAUGUUUGUAGGUGAAACCGAUACAACCUCCACAGUUCUAGAGUGGGCGAUGACUGAACUCAUAAGGCAUCCCAUGGUGAUGAAAAGACUGCAAAAUGAGAUUAUGGGAAUUGCUAAUGGAAAACAAGACAUAACAGAAACAGACUUGGACAAAAUGCCAUACUUGAAAGCUGUGAUCAAAGAAACACUGAGGCUGUAUCCUCCGCUACCGUUGGGGAGCAUGCGAGAGUCCAUCCAAGACACUAAAAUAAAGGGAUAUCACAUAGCUGCAAGAACCAUGGUCAUAGUCAAUGCCUGGACAAUCGAAAGAGACCCUUCUCUGUGGGAUGAACCGGAGGAGUUUCAACCUGAGAGAUUUAUAAAUUCUAGUGUGGACUUCAGAGGGCAGGACUUCCAAUCUAUGGUGGUGGAUGGAUGGCGACAAAUUGAUUGUUCAUCUCGAAGGAUGCGGAACGAGGUUGGGGAAUGA